AUCUCCAAAGUUAAGCAAUGUCAGGCUAGGUCAGUACCGAGAUGGGUGACCACUUGGGAAUACAAGGUGCUGUAAG